rnacentral:snoRNA from 10 species
AAGACAGUACUUUAUACAUUUAGGGAUGAUUUCUAUAAUUCAUGAGUGGAGAGGUUUCUCUAGAGGUGUAGGGGAAUGGAAACCACGUCCAGAAAGUACAGCUUUCUCUCCUGAGCAUGAAGGUAUCUUGGCAUUUCUUCACUGCAAUUGCCAUUUGGCUUUUUUAUUUUUCUUUUGAGAUAGGGUGUCACUCUGUUGCCCAGGCUGGAGGGCAGUGG